CAAGUUUCCUGUACCUCUCUCUCUUUCUCUCUUUCUUAACUCUUCUCGAUGUUCUUGUCGAUGUUCUUCUACUUUCUAAUCCAAAAAACGUGAAUCAAGAACCAAACAUAACUCUUCUUUUUCUUAACUUAUAAUCAAGUGUAUGAACCGACAGAAUCAAAGAUCCGUCGUCUCCAUGAGUAGAUCGGGCAGAUAUAACCAAGUCUUUAAGCGUUAGAGAAGUCAAAUCGGUGUAUUUCCAAAGACUGGUUCAACCUCGAGAAACACAUCUAUAAACAAUGGUCGUACGUAAUUGAUGAAUGCUAGUAGAGGAGGAGGAGCUUCAGUUAAGAAGCAAUCUGCUGGUGAACUUCGUCUUCACAAAGAUAAAUCAGGCAUGAAUCUUCGAAGCUCUUGGACGAUAUCAUUUGCCAAUGGCAAAGAUGAUUUGAUGAAGCGCCCAUCUACAUUAACCCCGAU